GAUGAACGCUGGCGGCGUGCCUAAUACAUGCAAGUCGAGCGAACAGACGAGGAGCUUGCUCCUCUGACUUUAGCGGCGGACGGGUGAGUAAAACGUGGAUAACCUACCUAUUAGACUGGGAUAACUUCCGGAAACCGGAGCUAAUACCGGAUAAUAUAUUGCACCGCAUGAUUAAAUAGUGAAAGACGGUUUUGCUGUCACUUAUAGAUGGAUCCGCGCCGCCUUGGCUAGUUGGUAAGGUAACGGCUUACCAAGGCGACGAUGCGUAGCUGACCUGAGAGGGUGAGCGGACACACCGGAACUGAGACACGGCACAGACUCCUACGGGAGGCAGGGGAAGGGAAUCGUCCGCAAUGGGCGAAAGCCUGACGGGGCAACGCCGCGUGAGGGAUGAAGGGCUUCGCAUCGUAAAACUAUGUUAUUAGGGAAGAACAAAUGUGUAAGUAACGAUGCACGUCUUGACGGUACCUAAUCAGAAAGCAACGGCUAACUACGUG
rnacentral:rRNA from 1 species